ACGGCGGCUGUAGGAGAGUGACAGCUGGACCUGCACGUGCUCCAGCGAGCGGAUGAGGCGGUGCGAGCCAUCGGAGCACGCGGACACGUUCUUCCUCACCAGCAUCCGAGGCAGGAUGGAGCUGGUAAGCCACACGCGAGCCAGGUCCACCAGCAGCCCUGCGUCCAGCAGCCCGUAGCCGUAGUGGUGGCUCACUGCGCGGGAGGGGUAGCCGUCACUCGCCCUGCAUGCACGGGACCCCGGUCCCCUCCCUGGCCCCGCCGCACCUUGGCGCCCCACGCCGUUGAUCCUCCAGUCCUCCGCCUGCAGCUGCGCCGGCCUGGACGCGCGGACCACCAGGUGCUGUAGGUCCCUCCAGAGCCAGAGCGAUUAUGCCAGCGGCCAGCGGGGCGGAGGCCGAGGUGCCCGUGUGUUUGUCGGUACACUGGUGGUGCAGGUCCGUGGUGACCUGGUGACAGACAGCAGAGGGAUCUUGAGCCCAGUGCGCGGCCCAGAUGGAGGAUUUGUUUGGAAGGUACUGGGGACUAAGUUCACAAAGUGCUGAAGAUUGAGCUAAGUAUGAAGACACCUAGGACUAAGCUCAAAGGGUACUAAAAGCCCCAGCAGGGCCGGGUGAUGCAGGCGCUCAAACCCAGCACUUGUGGAGCUGUGGCAGGCGUAGCUGGGACUUCUAGGCUAGCCUGGUUUAUGUAUGGUGAAUACGAAUGACUAAGUUUAACAAGUACUGAGGACUAAGGACUAGUUUCCAAAACCACCGAGCACUGAGUUCAUAAUGAUACACGGCCCUACAUCUCAAAAAAAAAAAAAAAAAAAAAAAAAAAACGAAA